AUUGAACGCUGGCGGCAUGCCUUACACAUGCAAGUCGAACGGCAGCACGGGGGCAACCCUGGUGGCGAGUGGCGAACGGGUGAGUAAAGUAUCGGAACGUGCCCAGUCGUGGGGGAUACCGUAGCGAAAGUUACGCUAAUACGGCAUACGAUCUAUGGAUGAAAGCGGGGGAUCGCAAGACCUAGCGCGAUUGGAGCGGCCGCUAUCAGAUUAGGUAGUUGGUGGGGUAAAGGCUCACCAAGCCGACGAUCUGUAGCUGGUCUGAGAGGACGACCAGCCACACUGGGACUGAGACACGGCCCAGACUCCUACGGGAGGCAGCAGUGGGGAAUUUUGGACAAUGGGCGAAAGCCUGAUCCAGCCAUGCCGCGUGCAGGAUGAAGGCCUUCGGGUUGUAAACUGCUUUUGUACGGAACGAAAAGGUUUGGCCUAAUAAGCUGAGCUCAUGACGGUACCGUAAGAAUAAGCACCGGCUAACUACGUGCCAGCCGCCGCCGUAA
rnacentral:rRNA from 1 species